rnacentral:lncRNA from 1 species
UGGGCUUAUCAGGUUGUCCAUUGGCAGGCAGGGCUCUAAGUGCAGUAACUUGAUUUGCUGUUGUAGUUGCUUAGGAACAGCAGCACUUCCGAAAGAGUGAUGGCACUGCUGAGGCGCACUGAGCAUCCCACUGCAGGAAACACUGAGGCUUGGGAAGAUACACAUGCAAAAUGGGAACAAGCAACAAAACUAAUCCUUAGCUAUCCAGAAGCCCAAAUGGAAGAUGGCCAGGUUUUAUUGACUGAUACCAAUACUCAAUUUGUAGAGCAAACCCUAGCUAUAUUGAAGAACUUGCUAGAUAAUCAUACUGAAGGCAGCUCUGAACAUCUAGAGCAAGCUAGCAUUGAAACAAUGAUGUUAUAUCUGGUCAGGUAUGUUCGUGUGCUUGGGAAUAUGGUCCAUGCAAUUCAAAUAAAAACGAAACUGUAUCAGUUGGUUGAAGUAACGAUGGCAAGGAGAGAUGACCUCUCAUUUUGCCAAGAGAUGAAAUUAGGAAUAAGAUGGUAG